AACGAACGCUGGCGGCGUGCCUAACACAUGCAAGUCGAACGAGAAAGGGGCUUCGGCCCUGAGUAAAGUGGCGCACGGGUGAGUAACACGUAGGUAACCUGCCUUUAAGAUUGGGAUAACCUGUCGAAAGACGAGCUAAUACCAAAUAAGACCACGGUCUCUUCGGAGACUGAGGUCAAAGGUAGCCUCUAUUUAUAAGCUAUCGCUUGAAGAUGGGCCUGCGUACCAUUAGCAGUUGGUGAGGUAACGGCUCACCAAGGCAAAGAUGGUUAGCUGGUCUGAGAGGAUGAUCAGCCACACUGGAACUGAGACACGGUCCAGACUCCUACGGGAGGCAGCAGUGGGGAAUAUUGCGCAAUGGGCGAAAGCCUGACGCAGCAACGCCGCGUGAGUGAUGAAGG
rnacentral:rRNA from 1 species